rnacentral:lncRNA from 1 species
AAGGAGACGGUGGAGAGCUCUCGGGAACUGGUGUCGGCGGUGGAGAGGAUACUACAGGAGCCGGAGACUUAGGUGCUUCCACGGGUGAAGAAGCAGGCGUUUUAGCCAUGGGAGAGGAAGGAGUAGCGGCGGGAGGGUUGGCAGGGGAAGUAGUUGGAGCAGAAGGAGCGGCGGGAGAUCUAGUUGGAGAGGAGGCAGGAGACUGGCCACCGACACCGGCGACGACAAUGCAGAGCAAUGCAACCGUUAAGAGGGAGUUACGUUCCAUAGUUUUUUUUUGGAGUUUUGAUUUAAAAGAGAGAGAGAUAUCAAAAUGAAUGAGUGGAGA